GAGUUGGAUAGUUGUGAUUUCGGACAGUGGAGAUGCCUCAGUUAAGGUACGUAAGGGCGUAAGUUUUUUUCUUUGAUUUUGCCUUCUUUGCUUAGAGUUUGUUAAAUGUUUCUGGUUGUUGAUUGCUUUGCUUUGUUCUUCAUGUGACAUAAUUGUUGCAAUUUUGAUUAAGCUUGAGAAGAAGGGUGCAUGUGGUUUAAGAUUUUCACUUUCAGGGUUGUGCCAUUGGAGAAGUGUGUUCUGUUAAAAAUCAAUCAUGCUAGGGAAGGAGGCAAAAGGUUAGCAGUGUUUCUUGCAUAAUUCAAUGAACUAAAGUCCAAUUACAUAUUGAUUAUAACAUAUCAAUGCAUGAUUUUGUUAUAUGCCACAAGAGGGAUACAUUAGUACUGGACAGUUCAGAAUAUCUUGUGAUAAAAUGAUCUUUUUUUUCCCCUCAAUUCCUCGUUUUGUCAAUUAAUGAAUGGUAAAUGGUAAUGUUGCUUCUGCUAUCCAUUUUCUGGUUUUUACUUUUUGGGGAGAAAGGUGUUGUGAUGUAUCAUUUAUUUUCCAUGUCAUUUUAAUUUUUUUUCAUAUCUGGUAUGACACAAUCCUCUUCGAUUUUCAAUCCAUAAAACACAAAUUGAUGAGUUUGCUUCUGCAAAGGUUAAAGAUAUGGAAGUUGGGC
rnacentral:misc_RNA from 1 species